rnacentral:rRNA from 1 species
GACGAACGCUGGCGGCGUGCUUAACACAUGCAAGUCGAACGGAAAGGCCCUGCUUUUGUGGGGUGCUCGAGUGGCGAACGGGUGAGUAACACGUGAGUAACCUGCCCUUGACUUUGGGAUAACUUCAGGAAACUGGGGCUAAUACCGGAUAGGAGCUCCUGCUGCAUGGUGGGGGUUGGUAAGUUUCGGCGGUUGGGGAUGGACUCGUGGCUUAUCAGCUUGUUGGUGGGGUAGUGGCUUACCAAGGCUUUGACGGGUAGCCGGCCUGAGAGGGUGACCGGCCACAUUGGGACUGAGAUACGGCCCAGACUCCUACGAGAGGCGGCAGUGGGGAAUAUUGCACAAUGGGCGGAAGCCUGAUGCAGCAACGCCGCGUGCGGGAUGACGGCCUUCGGGUUGUAAACCGCUUUCGCCUGUGACGAAGCGUGAGUGACGGUAAUGGGUAAAGAAGCACCGGCUAACUACGUG